rnacentral:rRNA from 1 species
GCGCAGCAGGCGCGAAAACCUCCGCAAUACACGAAAGUGUGACGGGGCCAUCCCGAGUGCCGUCCGCUGAGGACGGCUUUUCCCCAGUGUACAUAGCUGGGGGAAAUAAGGAGAGGGCAAGCCUGGUGUCAGCCGCCGCGGUAAUACCAGCUCUCCGAGUGGUGGGGACGCUUAUUGGGCCUAAAGCAUCCGUAGCCGGCUGGGCAAGUCCUCCGUUAAAUCCAACGAUUCAAUCGUUGGGCUGCGGGGGA